rnacentral:tRNA from 1 species
AGCCGCGAUAGCCUUGUGGUGAGGUGUUCGAUUCACAAUCGUCCACCCCGGGUUCGAGUCCCGUGGGGCUG